GUGAAGACUUUUAAAAUAGAGACCAACGUGGCCGGGCAGGAAGAGCAGGGUCCCGCCUUCAGGUGUUUGGGACUCAGCUGAGGGUGUGGGUGCCCCGCGGUGGGGGCUGAACCUUCCUGGGGUGUGGAGAGACGAAAGGAGCCCAGAUCCAAGUUCCCUCGUUCCCGCUUUGGCAUAAGUUGCCCUGGCGGUCUCAUGAGAGAGAGAAAGAGCUGGGACCCUCCUCGCCCCAGUGAGUGUGAUGUCUUGCUCCGGGUGUCCUGGGGCAACUUUCUAUACAGGCGGGACGUGGGAGGAUCAGACAGUGUAACAUCAGACAAGGGUGUUGACUCUGCAGCACAGAACCAGUAGUUUGUGGAGAAGAAUGGAGGUGUGGUGUUGAAUCUGCUAGACAGGCUACUGAAGCAAAAGUCAAGAGAUCCAGAUUCCAUCAUGGGGACACUUUAGUUCUUCAUCGGGUAAUUGAGCUGAUAUCAGGUGUCUGAAGGAGGCAAGUUUUGAAGAUGUGGGUCAUGAUGGCUGCUGAAGCUUCCACUCCAUAUUUGAAGGUCAGCAGUUCUCAGGAAACCUCUAGCACUUCCAUCCCUGGUGGGAUGUGAUGCCUGUCUCAGUGUAACAUCAGAGAAGGGGUGUACUCUGUGCCCUAGAACUAGGAGCUAACAGAGAAAAACCAAAUGUGAUGUGGAGUCUGCUAGACAGGCUACUGGAGCAAGAGUGAAGCGAUGAAAGUCUCAUCAUUGGGACAUAUUAGGGAGGCAGCAGGUGGCUGAAAUCCUGGUGUGAUGUGGCUGGAUCAUGCAUGAUCUGAGGACUCCUGCACAGAUGCAGUGGAUCCCCAGGUUGCAAGUCAUAUAACCUGAGCAUGCCCAGAUGAACCAAGUAUGCCUGAUUGGUGAACCUGGAACUGGCCAGAACAGAAAAUGUCAACCACAUGUGGAAUCUAAGUAUUCAGAUUGAGAAAUGAGGACCAAAAUGAGAACACUGAGCUCCUCACACAGGUGACUGAACCCGUGGUUUUGGUGUCUGAGAAGAUGCAGCUUCUCCAGUCUCUGCAACUGACGGCAGGAAGAUGGGAGCACUCAGCUUCAGUGUUCAGAAGCAGAUUUAGGCCAAUUGCCAUACCUUACGUUCUGGAGGGAUCCACCCUGACCUGAGCAGAAGGCAUCACACACAUUCCCAAGCAGCAUGGUUCCCGUGAGAAACUGAAAACUAAUUUCUUGAAUCUACAAUGCGA
rnacentral:lncRNA from 1 species